rnacentral:tRNA from 1 species
GACCUAGUGGCGAAGUGGAAACGCUGGGGUCUGCAAAACCUCUAUGCAAGGGUUCGAUUCCCUUCUAGGUCU